UUGUUAUAUUGCUUUUUGCGCUUUUCUUUCUUUGACUUCUUUUUCUUCUUCUUCUUUUUCCUGACCUGUGAAUGUUCAUGCAAAUGUUAAGUGAGAGAAUUUCUGCUGCCCAUAAAUUAC
rnacentral:ribozyme from 12 species